UACGGAGGGUGCAAGCGUUGUUCGGAAUCAUUGGGCGUAAAGCGCGUGUAGGCGGCUUGGCAAGUCGGUAGUGAAAUCCCGGGGCCCAACCCCGGAACUGCAUUCGAAACUGCCUCGCUAGAGUCCCGGAGAGGAAGGCGGAAUUCCCGGUGUAGAGGUGAAAUUCGUAGAUAUCGGGAGGAACACCAGCGGCGAAGGCGGCCUUCUGGACGGUGACUGACGCUGAGACGCGAAAGCGUGGGGAGCAAACAGG
rnacentral:rRNA from 1 species